UAGCGCAGUUUGGUAGCGCAUCUGGUUUGGGACCAGAGGGUCGGGGGUUCGAAUCC
rnacentral:tRNA from 2 species